rnacentral:rRNA from 1 species
UACGAAGGGUGCAAGCGUUACUCGGAAUCACUGGGCGUAAAGCGUGCGUAGGUGGUUUUUUAAGUCUGUCGUGAAAGCCCCCGGCUCAACUGGGGAGGGUCAUUCGAAACUGGUCGACUCGAAGGCAGGAGAGGGUAGUGGAAUUCCCGGUGUAGUGGUGAAAUGCGUAGAUAUCGGGAGGAACACCAGUGGCGAAGGCGACUACCUGGCCUGUACUUGACGCUGAGGCGCGAAAGCUAGGGGAGCAAACGGG